UGACCCCAGGUCAGGCGGGAUUACCCGCUGAGUUUAA
rnacentral:rRNA from 18 species